rnacentral:rRNA from 1 species
GACCUCAAAUCAGGUAGGACUACCCGCUGAACUUAAGCAUAUCAAUAAGCGGAGGAAAAGAAACCAACAGGGAUUGCCUCAGUA